UGGGGAAUAUUGCACAAUGGGCGCAAGCCUGAUGCAGCCAUGCCGCGUGUAUGAAGAAGGCCUUAGGGUUGUAAAGUACUUUCAGCGGGGAGGAAGGGAGUAAAGUUAAUACCUUUGCUCAUUGACGUUACCCGCAGAAGAAGCACCGGCUAACUCCGUGCCAGCAGCCGCGGUAAUACGGAGGGUGCAAGCGUUAAUCGGAAUUACUGGGCGUAAAGCGCACGCAGGCGGUUUGUUAAGUCAGAUGUGAAAUCCCCGGGCUCAACCUGGGAACUGCAUCUGAUACUGGCAAGCUUGAGUCUCGUAGAGGGGGGUAGAAUUCCAGGUGUAGCGGUGAAAUGCGUAGAGAUCUGGAGGAAUACCGGUGGCGAAGGCGGCCCCCUGGACGAAGACUGACGCUCAGGUGCGAAAGCGUGGGGAGCAAACAGG
rnacentral:rRNA from 1 species